UUCGCAAUGCCCGAAAGGGUGACGAAGCGACGCCGCGUGGGUGAGGAAGGCCUUCGGGUUGUAAAGCCCUGUCAGGAGUUAAGAAAUGUAAGUGUGCUAAUAUCGCAUUUACUUGACGAAGGCUCCAAAGGAAGUCACGGCUAACUCUGUGCCAGCAGCCGCGGUAAUACAGAGGUGGCAAGCGUUGUUCGGAAUUAUUGGGCGUAAAGAGCACGUAGGUGGGUUUGUAAGUCAGAUGUGAAAGCCUCCUGUUCAACGGGAGAAUUGCAUCCGAAACUACUGAUCUUGAGUAUAGGAGGGGAGAAUGGAACUUCUGGUGGAGCGGUGAAAUGCGUAGAUAUCAGAAGGAACGCCGGCGGCGAAAGCGAUUCUCUGGCCUAUUACUGACACUCAGUGUGCGAAAGCUAGGGGAGCAAACGGGAUUAGAUACCCCGGUAGUCCUAGCCGUAAACGAUGGGCACUAAGUAGAGGGGUUUU
rnacentral:rRNA from 1 species